UACGUAGGGACCGAGCGUUGUCCGGAUUCAUUGGGCGUAAAGAGCUCGUAGGCGGCUGCUCAAGUCGAAUGUGAAACCUCGAGGCUCAACCUCGAGCCUGCAUUCGAUACUGGGCAGCUAGAGUCUGGUAGGGGGAUCUGGAAUUCCUGGUGUAGCGGUGGAAUGCGCAGAUAUCAGGAGGAACACCGGUGGCGAAGGCGGGUCUCUGGGCCGAUACUGACGCUGAGGAGCGAAAGCGUGGGGAGCGAACAGG
rnacentral:rRNA from 1 species